rnacentral:tRNA from 1 species
GCGCGGGUGGCGUAAUUGGUAGACGCGUACGUUUGAGGGGCGUAUGGGGUAACCUGUGUGGGUUCAAGUCCCACCCCGCGCA